rnacentral:rRNA from 1 species
ACAACAUUUGGAAACAGAUGCUAAUACCGCAUAACAACGUUGUUCGCAUGAACAACGCUUAAAAGAUGGCUUCUCGCUAUCACUUCUGGAUGGACCUGCGGUGCAUUAGCUUGUUGGUGGGGUAAUGGCCUACCAAGGCGAUGAUGCAUAGCCGAGUUGAGAGACUGAUCGGCCACAAUGGGACUGAGACACGGCCCAUACUCCUACGGGAGGCAGCAGUAGGGAAUCUUCCACAAUGGGCGCAAGCCUGAUGGAGCAACACCGCGUGAGUGAAGAAGGGUUUCGGCUCGUAAAGCUCUGUUGUUAAAGAAGAACACGUAUGAGAGUAACUGUUCAUACGUUGACGGUAUUUAACCAGAAAGUCACGGCUAACUACGUGCCAGCAGCCGCGGUAAUACGUAGGUGGCAAGCGUUAUCCGGAUUUAUUGGGCGUAAAGAGAGUGCAGGCGGCUUUUCUAAGUCUGAUGUGAAAGCCUUCGGCUUAACCGGAGAAGUGCAUCGGAAA